UACGAGGGGGCGAGCGUUGUUCGGAAUUAUUGGGCGUAAAGGGUGCGUAGGCGGUUUGGUAAGUCUUAUGUGAAAUCUAUGGGCUCAACUCAUAGACUGCAUGAGAAACUGCCGGGCUUGAGUAUGGGAGAGGUGAGUGGAAUUCCUGGUGUAGCGGUGAAAUGCGUAGAUAUCAGGAGGAACACCUGUGGCGAAAGCGGCUCACUGGACCAUAACUGACGCUGAUGCACGAAAAGCUAGGGGAGCAAACAGG
rnacentral:rRNA from 1 species